rnacentral:rRNA from 1 species
CCUACGGGAGGCAGCAGUGGGGAAUUUUGGACAAUGGGCGCAAGCCUGAUCCAGCCAUUCCGCGUGCAGGAUGAAGGCCUUCGGGUUGUAAACUGCUUUUGUACGGAACGAAAAGGCUCUGGCUAAUACCUGGGGCUCAUGACGGUACCGUAAGAAUAAGCACCGGCUAACUACGUGCCAGCAGCCGCGGUAAUACGUAGGGUGCGAGCGUUAAUCGGAAUUACUGGGCGUAAAGCGUGCGCAGGCGGUUAUGUAAGACAGAGGUAAAAUCCCCGGGCUCAACCUGGGAACUGCCUUUGUGACUGCAUGACUAGAGUACGGCAGAGGGGGAUGGAAUUCCGCGUGUAGCAGUGAAAUGCGUAGAUAUGCGGAGGAACACCGAUGGCGAAGGCAAUCCCCUGGGCCUGUACUGACGCUCAUGCACGAAAGCGUGGGGAGCAAACAGGAUUAGAUCCCCCUGUAGU